rnacentral:rRNA from 1 species
CAGUAGCCGCGGGAAUACGUAGGGUGCAAGCGUUAAUCGGAAUUACUGGGCGUAAAGCGUGCGCAGGCGGUUAUAUAAGACAGAUGUGAAAUCCCCGGGCUCAACCUGGGAACUGCAUUUGUGACUGUAUAGCUAGAGUACGGCAGAGGGGGAUGGAAUUCCGCGUGUAGCAGUGAAAUGCGUAGAUAUGCGGAGGAACACCGAUGGCGAAGGCAAUCCCCUGGGCCUGUACUGACGCUCAUGCACGAAAGCGUUGGGAGCAAACAGGAUUAGAUACCCGUGUAGUCCCUGUCUCUUAUAC